UACGGAGGGUGCGAGCGUUGUCCGGAAUCACUGGGCGUAAAGGGUGCGCAGGCGGCCAGGUGUGUGGGGCGUGAAAGCCCGGGGCUCAACCCCGGAAUUGCACCUCAAACUACAUGGCUAGAGUACUGGAGAGGGAGACGGAAUUCACGGUGUAGCAGUGAAAUGCGUAGAGAUGCGGAGGAACACCGAUGGCGAAGGCAGCCCCCUGGGCUGACACUGACGCUCAGGCACGAAAGCGUGGGGAGCAAACAGG
rnacentral:rRNA from 1 species